AACGAACGCUGGCGGCAUGCCUAACACAUGCAAGUCGAACGAGACCUUCGGGUCUAGUGGCGCACGGGUGCGUAACGCGUGGUAACCUGCCCUUAGGUUCGGAAUAACUCCCCGAAAGGGGUGCUAAUACCGGAUAAUGUCUUCGGACCAAAGAUUUAUCGCCUUUGGAUGGGCCCGCGUUGGAUUAGCUAGUUGGUAGGGUAUAAGCCUACCAAGGCGACGAUCCAUAGCUGGUCUGAGAGGAUGAUCAGCCACACUGGGACUGCGACACGGCCCAGACCCCGACGGGAGGCAGCAGUGGGGAAUAUUGGACACUGGGCGAAAGCCUGAUCCAGCAAUGCCGCGUGAGUGAUGAAGGCCUUAGGGUUGUAAAGCUCUUUUACCCGGGAUGAUAAUGACAGUACCGGGAGAAUAAGCUCCGGCUAACUCCGUG
rnacentral:rRNA from 1 species